rnacentral:rRNA from 1 species
AACGAACGCUGGCGGCAUGCCUAACACAUGCAAGUCGAACGAGACCUUCGGGCCUAGUGGCGCACGGGUGCGUAACGCGUGGGAACCUGCCCUUAGGUUCGGAAUAACUCCCCGAAAGGGGUGCUAAUACCGGAUAAUGUCUUCGGACCAAAGAUUUCUCGCCUUUGGAUGGGCCCGCGUUGGAUUAGCUAGUUGGGAGGGUAAAAGCCUACCAAGGCGACGAUCCAUAGCUGGUGUGUGAGGAUGCUCAGCCGCACUGGGACUGCGACACGGCCCAGACGCCUGCGGGAGGCAGCAGUGGGGAAUAUUGGACCAGGGGCGAAAGCCUGAUCCAGCACGGCCGCGUUAGUGAUGAAGGCCUUAGGGUUGUAAAGCUCUUUUACCCGAGAUGAUAAUGACAGUACCGGGAGAAUAAGCCCCGGCUAACUCCGU